AAUAAAUGUAAGGAGUACCUUGUCGGGUAGGCUUCAGCCAGAUCUUCUUGGUGAGAACCUUGGAGUUUGCAACUUGUCAUUGAGAGGGAAGAGCCAGGGAAAGAAUAAACAGAAGGCUUUAUGGCAUUCGAAAAGCUUCCUUAUUACCCUUUCUUUUACUCUAUUUUUGGCAUGCUUGUGCUGAACUUGUCGAUCACAUCUGAUACCUUAAGUUUAGGUCGGUCCAUUAAAGAUGGAGAGAAGUUGGUGUCUUCUGACCAAAGCUUUGAGCUUGGUUUUUCUCUACUGGCAACUCCAAGAACAGGUACUUCGGCAUGUGGUACAAGAUCUCUCCAAAAACAGUUGUUUGGGUUGCCAACAGGGACAAGCCACUUACGGAUUCACAUGGUUUUCUCACGUUUAGCCAUGAUGGAGAUCUAGUUCUUGUCAACCAAUCGAAGAGUGUCGUCUGGUCUUCAAAUUUGUCCAGGGUUGUGAAAAAUCCCGUUGCUCAGCUCUUAGACACUGGAGAUCUUGUCCUUAGAGAGAAUUCUAGUUUGAAUUCUGAUGACUAUAGAUGGCAGAGUUUUGAUCAUCCGUCAGACACUCUACUACCUGGUAUGAAAUUAGGAUGGGACCUGAAAAUUGGUUUCGAAAGGUGUCUGACUUCUUGGAAAAGCAAGGAUGACCCUUCCCCUGGAGAUUAUACUUUAAGGUUGAACAUUAACGGGUUGCCUCGAUUUGAACUCGUCAGCUUAGGAUCUGGCAAGAUAUAUUGGACAAGACCAUGGUUUGGAAUACAAUAUAAUGGUUCUUCAAUUGCAUCGAAUCCAGUGAUCAAGCCGUUGUUCUUCUAUGGUGAAAAUCAAAUGUAUCUUCUAUAUGAAGUCAGUAAAAGCAAAUUUAUCGUAAGACUACUAACCAACCAUGCCGGGUGGCUCCAGCUCUAUGUUGCGAGUACAAGAAGCAAUGCCUGGAAUAUCAUGUACUCGAUACCCAAUGAUAAAUGUGAUGCUUACGGUGCUUGUGGAGCCAACGGUAUAUGUAGAAUUAACAGAGAUCCAAUAUGUGAUUGCCUAAAGGGGUUUGUACCGAAGUCUCCAGAACAAUGGGAUCUCCUCAAUUGGUCUAGUGGAUGCACGAGGAGAAUACCAAUAAAUUGUACAAAAGAAGAAGGAUUCCUCAAACUUGCAAACGUGAAAAUUCCUGACCUGCUGGAGUUCUGGUUGAACAACAACAUGAGCCUCAAGGAAUGUGAGGCCUAGUGCUUAAAGAACUGUUCUUGUACAGCUUAUGCUAAUUCAGAUGUUAGAGGAGUUAGCAGCUGUCUCCUGUGGUUUGGAAGCCUACUUGACGUUAAGGAGUACAGAGAAGAUAACUAUGGGCAAGCUCUGUACAUCCGCCUACCAAAAUCUGAACUUGCCAUGGCGUACUGUCAUCAAAUCCAGAAUCGCAGAAUAAAGAGCAAAGGUUGGAAAAUCAAGGAGGAAGAUGUUGAUUUGCCACUUUUUGACUUGGCUACCAUUGUUAAUGCUACGAACGGUUUUUCUGAGGAUAGUCUGAUUGGAGCUGGUGAAUUUGGUCCAGUUUACAAGGUAACAAGCCAUGCAUAUUCCAAGGCGAGGUUAACUGCAGAUAGAAUGAUCAUAUUUUAUUGUUUAGCAUGUACUCUAUAUGCAAUAUGCAGGGCAAUCUUUUUACCGGACAAGAAGUAGCAGUGAAGAGACUGUCAAGAGAUUCAAGACAUGGUCUUGAAGAGUUCAAGAAUGAAACAAUUCUCAUAGCCAAACUUCAACACCGGAAUCUUGUGGGGCUUCUAGGCUGUUGCAUGGAGAGGGACGAAAGGAUUUUGGUCUAUGAGUACAUGCAAAACAAGAGCUUGGAUUAUUUUAUCUUUGAUCGUGAAAAAUGCUUACUGUUAGACUGGGAAAAACGUUUUGACAUCACCAUUGGGAUUGCGAGAGGUCUUCUCUAUCUACACCAUGAUUGUAGACUUCAAGUAAUUCACCGUGAUCUCAAAGCUUGCAACAUUUUACUGGAUGGCAGCCUAAGCCCCAGAAUCUAGGAUUUUGGGUUGGCAAGAAUUUUUGUAUGUGAUGAGAAAGAAGCAAAGACGAAGAGAAUCAUCGGAACUUAGUAAGAACUCAUCCUUUCAGCAAAUCUCUGGAUAGGACCGUAUAUUUUGCUAAAAGACUAAUACAUUGCCAUUACAGUGGCUAUAUGUCCCCUGAGUAUGCAUUCGAUGGAAAAUUCUGUGAAAUCCGAUAUCAUUAGCUUUGGUGUGCUUUUGUUGGAGAUUGUAAGCGGCAAAAGAAACAGAGGAUUCUGCCAUCCAAAUCAUCACCAUAACCUUCUCGGACAUGUAAGAGAAAAGAUCCAGAGCAUAUGUCGUUCUCUCUCCCUCAUGUCUCUCUUUUCGUCUUGCAUUUCUGAGCCCGAGAUGCUAUUUUUCAGCCUUGGUGUAAUUUUGCUAGGGAUAGUAAGUGGCAAAAGGAGUGGAGGAUUCUGCCAUCCUGAUCAUGAACACAACCUUCUUGGGCAUGCAAGUAGUGCAAUAUGGUUUGUAUAAACUUGUCUUUUAUGUGAUGUUUAAUGACAUGAAUGGAUUUGUCCUAGGCAUGGUUGCUAUGGAUUGCAGGCAAGUCCUUGGAACUUCUACAUGAAUCUCUACGCGACUCCUUCAUCGCAAACCAAGUAGAGAGAUGGGUUCAAGUCGGUUUGGUAUGUGUCCAAAAGUGUCCUGAAGAUAGGCCAACAAUGGGUUCAGUCAUUUUCAUGUUAGUGAAUGAGGAAGCAAUCUUGCCACAGCCUAAACAGCCAAGGUUCUUUAAGGAGAGAUGUCCAUCGAGCACAGAGGCAUCUUCCAAGGGAAGAAUCAUACACAAGGAAUAUUGUUACAAUCACCACGCCAGAAGGUCGAUAAACCUGCUGUUGAGGAAGUUACCUGCACGGUGGAAUUCAAAGGAGCUUUCUCAGUGAAUGAAGGUAGAAAGGACCAGAAGAUGGUCUCCAAUCACUACAAUCUUCAAUGUGGGAAAGGUGCGGUGACCUGCACUUUGACGUUGCUUCAUCAGGUUCUAAUAUUUUAGAAAACAUUACUAAAAACAAUCUGAAAAGGUUCUGAAGGCAUACAUGCAGUUGCCUCUUCCAUGAAUAUGUGAUAUUUGUGUCCGCAAAUCUAUCGCUACCUUGCAGAUGGAGGACUGGUUAGCGCGAGAUGAGGGCUACAACAAAGGAUUCUCGUUUUUGUAAUUCAGUGGGUGAAGAAACUUGGAAUACGCCUUUUAAAAAAAAUAAAUUGA